rfam:Oryza brachyantha chromosome 10, whole genome shotgun sequence.
AAUAAGAUCGUUUUUCAUUUUUCCGUGCCCAACGUUUGACCAUUCGUCUUAUUUAAAAAAUUUGUAUAAAUACUUAAAAAAAUUAGUCACGCAUAAAGUACUAUUCAUGAUCUGGUAAGAACACAGAUAUUAAUCGUAAAUUUUUUUAAAUAAGACGAAUGGUUAAACGUUGGACACGGAAAAAC